rnacentral:ribozyme from 1 species
UAAUGAACUGAAUUGUGGAUAUGCUGGUUCACCACGUCUAGUCGAAACACCAGGUGAAGGCACGGUACUUAGCACAGGAUCAUAUAACCGUCUAGCCAUGAACGGUAAAGAAGUUU